AACGCGAAGAACCUUACCUACCCUUGACAUCCUCGGAACUUGUCAGAGAUGACUUGGUGCCUUCGGGAACCGAGAGACAGGUGCUGCAUGGCUGUCGUCAGCUCGUGUCGUGAGAUGUUGGGUUAAGUCCCGUAACGAGCGCAACCCUUGUCCUUAGUUGCCAGCAUUCAGUUGGGAACUCUAAGGAGACCGCCGGUGACAAACCGGAGGAAGGUGGGGAUGACGUCAAGUCAUCAUGGCCUUUAUGACCAGGGCUACACACGUGCUACAAUGGUAGAUACAGAGGGAAGCCAACGCGCGAGCGGGAGCCAAUCCCAGAAAAUCUAUCGUAGUCCGGAUCGGAGUCUGCAACUCGACUCCGUGAAGUCGGAAUCGCUAGUAAUCGCAGAUCAGCAUUGCUGCGGUGAAUACGUUCCCGGGCCUUGUACACACCGACUGUAC
rnacentral:rRNA from 1 species